CCACCACCAAAGCAUUCUCUGGUGUUGAAGGCCCUGCAAAGCAGCAUCGCGGUGGCGGAGCGUCGUUUGCGACGCCCAACACACAAAACAAGCGGUGAGUGCUUUGGGGUGGGGUGACUGCGUACCUUUUGUAUAAUGGGUCAGCGACUUAUAUUCUGUAGCAAGGUUAACCGAAUAGGGGAGCCGGAGGGAAACCGAGUCUUAAUUGGGCGUUAAGUUGCAGGGUAUAGACCCGAAACCCGGUGAUCUAGCCAUGGGCAGGUUGAAGGUUGGGUAACACUAACUGGAGGACCGAACCGACUAAUGUUGAAAAAUUAGCGGAUGACCUGUGGCUGGGGGUGAAAGGCCAAUCAAACCGGGAGAUAGCUGGUUCUCCCCGAAAGCUAUUUAGGUAGCGCCUCGUGAAUUCAUCUCCGGGGGUAGAGCACUGUUUCGGCUAGGGGGCCAUCCCGGCUUACCAACCCGAUGCAAACUGCGAAUACCGGAGAAUGUUAUCACGGGAGACACACGGCGGGUGCUAACGUCCGUCGUGAAGAGGGAAACAACCCAGACCGCCAGCUAAGGUCCCAAAGUCAUGGUUAAGUGGGAAACGAUGUGGGAAGGCCCAGACAGCCAGGAUGUUGGCUUAGAAGCAGCCAUCAUUUAAAGAAAGCGUAAUAGCUCACUGGUCGAGUCGGCCUGCGCGGAAGAUGUAACGGGGCUAAACCAUGCACCGAAGCUGCGGCAGCGAACGUAUCACUUAAAGCGAUUCAGCGGGUUACGAUUGACGGAGCGAAGCGACGUCAAAGCGUAUACAAAGUCGAGUCGGUUUAAGGAUACGUUCGUUGGGUAGGGGAGCGUUCUGUAAGCCUGUGAAGGUGUGUCGUGAGGCAUGCUGGAGGUAUCAGAAGUGCGAAUGCUGACAUAAGUAACGAUAAAGCGGGUGAAAAGCCCGCUCGCCGGAAGACCAAGGGUUCCUGUCCAACGUUAAUCGGGGCAGGGUGAGUCGACCCCUAAGGCGAGGCCGAAAGGC
rnacentral:rRNA from 1 species